rnacentral:rRNA from 1 species
UACGUAGGGGGCGAGCGUUGUCCGGAAUCAUUGGGCGUAAAGAGCGUGUAGGCGGCUUGGCAAGUCUGACGUGAAAGCCCGCGGCUCAACCGCGGAUUGUCGUUGGAAACUGCCUCGCUAGAGUCCGGAAGAGGAGAGCGGAAUUCCUGGUGUAGCGGUGGAAUGCGCAGAUAUCAGGAAGAACACCCGUGGCGAAGGCGGCUCUCGUGGGACGGUACUGACGGCUGAGACGCGAAAGCGUGGGGAGCGAACAGG